GUUGAACGCUGGCGGCAGGCCUAACACAUGCAAGUCGAGCGAAGCGGCGGAAGGGUGAGUAAUGCCUAGGGAUCUACCUGGUAGUGGGGGAUAACGUCCGGAAACGGGCGCUAAUACCGCAUACUAUCAGAUGAGCCUAGGUCGGAUUAGCUAGGUGGUGGGGUAAAGGCCUACCAAGGCGAAGAUCCGUACCUGGUAUGAGAGGAUGAUCAGUCACACUGGAACUGAGACACGGCGCAGACUCCUACGGGAGGCAGCAGUGGGGAAUAUUGGACAAGGGGCGAAAGCCUAAUCCAGCCAUGCCGCGUGUGUGAAGAAGGUCUUCGGAUUGUAAAGCACUUUAAGUUGGGAGGCGUUACCAACAGAAUAAGCACCGGCUAACUUCGUGCCAGCAGCCGCGGUAAUUC
rnacentral:rRNA from 1 species